UUUUCGAGAACAACAAGGAAAACUUUGGAGACCUCGAGGGCUCGGAACUUCUGGUACUUUGGUCAGUCGAAGUCGCGCAGCCAUAGGGGUUGAACUUGAGCGUAGAGGAUAAUCAAUCGGAAGUAUAUUUUAUCGGAAAUAUAUUCAUCUCGGGACCGCGAGUGAUAGUCGUGUGAUUCAAGUGCAUUACCAUCAGUGUAGUUUCGUGUUCCGUACUUUAUUAUUAAAAUUUUUCUCAGUGAAUUAUUCCGUGAAUUUAGAAGGUGCAGUGAAUAGUUGAACAAGUUUCCUGGCCGGUACUUUAGUUUCGUGUUCGGUACUUUAUUUUCGUGUUCGGUACUUUAUUAUUAAAAUUAUUCUCUGUGAACUAUUUCGUAAAUAUAGAAGGUGCAGUAAAUAGUUGAAAAACCUUACUAUCCGAAAGUUUUCUAUCCACCGAAAGUUUUAGUCUGCAAGCCUCUACUUUUUCCGUCCAGUGCGAUAGUUUGCCGUGUUUUACAAUAAGUGGAAGUAGUGUUUGUCACUCGUGUCGGUUGUCAUCGUGCGAAUUUUCGGUAGUGUCUUUUCAGUGAUAUUUCUGUGAAAUUUGAUUUGAGGAUAUAGUUUCGGAAGUCGAUUUGCUCACGUGUAUUCCUCAGCGUUGAUUCGCCAACAUUUGAGAAGGCGAUGACCGAGGAUGGAAAUCUUCACCCUACGCAUCAGAGCUGUUCCUGACCUUGCAGAUCAUCGCUUCUUCACGG